rnacentral:rRNA from 1 species
GAUCGCAGGCUGCAACCCGCCUGCGUGAAGUCGGAAUUGCUAGUAAUCGCGGAUCAGCAUGCCGCGGUGAAUACGUUCCCGGGCCUUGUACACACCGCCCGUCACACCAUGGGAGCCGGUAACACCCGAAGUCAGUAGCCUGACCAAUUCUGGAGGGCGCUGCCGAAGGUGGGAUUGGUGACUGGGGUGAAGUCGUAACAAGGUAAC